rnacentral:rRNA from 1 species
GAUGAACGCUGGCGGCGUGCCUAAUACAUGCAAGUCGAGCGAAUUGACAGAGGUGCUUGCACCUCUCGAUUUUAGCGGCGGACGGGUGAGUAACACGUGGGUAACCUACCUAUAAGACUGGGAUAACUUCGGGAAACCGGAGCUAAUACCAGAUAAUAUUUAGCUUCGCAUGAAGCAAUAGUGAAAGACGGUUCUGCUGUCACUUAUCGAUGGACCUGCGGUGUAUUAGCUAGUUGGUGAGGUAACGGCUCACCAAGGCAACGAUACAUAGCCGACCUGGGAGGGUGAUCGGACACGCGGGGACUGAGACACGGCCCAGACUCCUACGGGAGGCAGCAGUAGGGAAUCUUCCGCAAUGGACGAAAGUCUGACGGAGCAACGCCGCGUGAGUGAUGGAGGUUUUCGGAUCGUAAAGCUCUGUUGCCAAGGACGAACAGCAUGGAGAGUAACGGCUCCAUGAAUGACGGUACUUGAGAAGAAAGCCCCGGCUAACUACGUGCCAGCAGCCGCCGCGGUAA